rnacentral:rRNA from 1 species
AGACGAGGAGCUUGCUCCUCUGACGUUAGCGGCGGACGGGUGAGUAACACGUGGAUAACCUACCUAUAAGACUGGGAUAACUUCGGGAAACCGGAGCUAAUACCGGAUAAUAUAUUGAACCGCAUGGUUCAAUAGUGAAAGACGGUUUUGCUGUCACUUAUAGAUGGAUCCGCGCCGCAUUAGCUAGUUGGUAAGGUAACGGCUUACCAAGGCGACGAUGCGUAGCCGACCUGAGAGGGUGAUCGGCCACACUGGAACUGAGACACGGUCCAGACUCCUACGGGAGGCAGCAGUAGGGAAUCUUCCGCAAUGGGCGAAAGCCUGACGGAGCAACGCCGCGUGAGUGAUGAAGGUCUUCGGAUCGUAAAACUCUGUUAUUAGGGAAGAACAAAUGUGUAAGUAACUAUGCACGUCUUGACGGUACCUAAUCAGAAAGCCACGGCUAACUACGUGCCAGCAGCCGCGGUAAUACGUAGGUGGCAAGCGUUAUCCGGAAUUAUUGGGCGUAAAGCGCGCGUAGGCGGUUUUUUAAGUCUGAUGUGAAAGCCCACGGCUCAACCGUGGAGGGUCAUUGGAAACUGGAAAACUUGAGUGCAGAAGAGGAAAGUGGAAUUCCACGUGUAGCGGUGAAAUGCGCAGAGAUAUGGAGGAACACCAGUGGCGAAGGCGACUUUCUGGUCUGUAACUGACGCUGAUGUGCGAAAGCGUGGGGAUCAAACAGGAUUAGAUACCCUGGUAGUCCACGCCGUAAACGAUGAGUGCUAAGUGUUAGGGGGUUUCCGCCCCUUAGUGCUGCAGCUAACGCAUUAAGCACUCCGCCUGGGAAGUACGACCGCAAGGUUG